GGGCCGCAGCGCCCCCUGGUGGCGGCGGGGCCGCGAGCAACGGGACCGGCCCGGAACCUGCAACUGCCACCGCCGGGACCUUCAUCCCCGAACUACAGAAGAACUCCAUGGGUUUUGCUAACACACUUUCCUACGUGGUCUGUCAGUCAGUUCAGCUUCUCAAGGUGCUGAAAUCCUGCCCGGGGAGGCUCGAGCAGCCUAAAAGUGACAUUGCUGUUUUCAUGCAAUUAUACUUUUAUGGUGCCCAUUAUGUGUGGAUUUCAAAGCACUUGUGCAAGAAAAUUAGUGAGAUGAUUGAGACUGAACAGUAAAUCAAAAGGAGAGCAAAAGAUUGCCUUGCACAAAGCCACACAGCAGGUUCCUGGUGCUCCUGGUCUGUGACUCCUCAGAUCACACCAGAAUGUUCCACGAUGUUGUUCCAUCACCUUGUGUCACGAGAGGAGCUGGAGCAGCAGGAGAGGUGCCCAAAGAGCCUGUGGGAAUUUCUGCCCUGAAGAUCUUCAGAACUUGACAAGGCACUGAGCACCUUGACUAACUUUGCAAUCAGCCCUGCUCUGAGGAGAUGAGAUCAUGGGCUCCACAGGGCCUUCCCAACCUCAGUUAUACCCAGGGUGACAUAAAUCAUAUGGAGAUAUUCUGACCGUGUGUCAAGGGAAGAUUUACACUUUUAUCCACUUGAAAUAUAUUUUAGGCCAGAAUAAUAUGGAUUAACAACACACAUUCAGUCAAUAGAUGAAGUAGCAGCUUGUCUGGACUGGCUCUGAGUCCUUGGAAAAAUACUUGUUGGGGUGUGUAAGGGACCCAAAUGUCCCUUUUGUGCCCACCCAGCCUCAGGAGUCCUUUAGCUCACCCUGCAAAUAGUUACACCAAUAUUUAACAUCAUUGCUGGCAACAGCUCCACUCAAAGACAUCUUUUACAGAUGCUUGAAUAUUUUAAUAAUAUAAAACCCAAGUUGCAACAGCUGAAAAUAUUAGAAGAUGCAUUUAUUGUAUCAUUGGCAUCAUCUUUACUGCAAGUGGAUCAGUUUUUGGUUAUCUUGCUUGUUUCCAAGCAUUUAAGCUACAUCACAGUGAAAACCUAGUGCUAAUAUGGUAACUAAACGUUUUCCAUAAAAGAUUAACUAUUGAUUUCUCAGUCCUUUAUCAGAACAGGUAAAAAAUACAAAUGAAAUACUAAGGCUAGCACUGAAAAAUCAAGUUACUAAGGCUUUCACUAUAAAAAUUGUGUCAUUAGCAGAAAUGGGGGUUCUGCUCACUUACCUGAAUAAUACACCAAAAAUUGUCCAACUGUGAACAGAAGCUAAAUUUUGUCUGUACCUGCUUAGUUCAGCAGUGAGUACUUAGAGUAACAAAGAUUUGCCUCCUACAUGCAGCAGUGUUUUACCAGUGUUUUCUGGCACAGGUACAUUUUUCUGCACAUGCAGCACAUUAAAAACAUGACAAAAUAUUUUAUCUGCUUUAAACAUUUCACUUAUUAAGAGAAAACAAAUUCAGACACAACAACAUUAACACUUAGCAGUUUUGGACAUAAAAUAGCAGUUUGGACUUAGCAGUACAGUCAUUUCAUACAAGGGUAAGGCAAACUAUAAAAAGUUAAAUCAAAACUUACAUGUAUCAAAUGCUCAAGAAGGUUAAAUUAAGUUUAAAAAAUAAUUUUUGCUGAUAAGCAUUUUGUUGCCUAUGUAUAAAAGAAACUGUCAAAUAAGAGUAAAUGAAAUUUUGAGUUAUCACUGGAAAACAUGAGUCCAAGACAAUCUAAAUUUCCAAGGGCAUAUGUUCUUGCUGCUAUAAAGGCUGUUCUUCACUAUUCUGCAACAAAAUCCAAAGUACUCUUGGACAAUAUUAUUGAUGAUCUUUGGAGUUUUUUUGCAUCUAUAAAAUGGAGAUAAAAGAGAAAAUAUCAAAACAACUGUUGACACUGCACAAUUAUAGAACACCUUGCAGUAGACAAAGGCUCGUCACUUAACCACUCCAAGGCAGGGCACCAGUGCUCCCUGGAUCCAAAGGACAGCAGCAGUGCUCCCUGGAUCCAAGGCACAGCAGCAGUGCUCCCUGGAUCCAAAGGACAGCAGCAGUGCUCCCUGGAUCCAAGGCACAGCAGCAGUGCUCCCUGGAUCCAAAGGACAGCAGCAGUGCUCCCUGGAUCCAAGGCACAGCAGCAGUGCUCCCUGGAUCCAAAGGACAGCAGCAGUGCUCCCUGGAUCCAAGGCACAGCAGCAGUGCUCCCUGGAUCCAAGGCACAGCAGCAGUGCUCCCUGGAUCCAAGGCACAGCAGCAGUGCUCCCUGGAUCCAAAGGACAGCAGCAGUGCUCCCUGGAUCCAAGGCACAGCAGCAGUGCUCCCUGGAUCCAAGGCACAGCAGCAGUGCUCCCUGGAUCCAAGGCAGGGCACCAGUGCUCCCUCUCCUUUCCCAGACAGCACCUCUGUGUGAGGCCUGUACUGAUCAACCCCCAGGAAACUGCUGGAGAGUCACAAACCAGCACCAGGAAAAGAGGCUGAACAGAGGAAAUACCAACUUCCUGAUAAACACAGGGAUUAGUUCAGAGUCCUGAGCUGACACUUGUUCUCUUUGUACCCUGGCAGGUUCAAAGGCUCUCUGAUAUUUUCCUACUCUAGCUCUCUCUCUCCAAGCACAAGCCCUGAUGGAAUUACAUAAGAGACCAUUCCCAUUGGUAGCACAGCACUGAACUGACACAAAGCACAAUGCCAUGGGCUGCAAAUCCUGAAAGCCUGCUUUUUCUGCAAAUCAGUUCAGGGGCAAGUUAUGAAAACUGAGCUCACAGCAUUUAGAACUCAUAGAAAAUUAGACUGUGACUACCUGCUUCUGUAACCUGUAGUACUUCUUGGAAAGAUCAACAUUUGUCCGUCCUUUCUGAAAUGGGUAAGACCACAAAAUUAAAUUCCAGUGAUUACCCAUUUCCUUUACUCCAUUCAAAAGACAGUUAAUUUCUUCAGUCGUGAAAUCUUUUCGGGUUCUUCUUCUUCUCUCGUUCAAGGUUCUCGUGUUCAUGUCCAGGGGACAUAUUUCAUUGCUCUGCAAAUAUUUAUUUUGGUGUAAUUACAAAUGAUGUCAAUCUACAGACUAUUUGGUAUGUGGAAGUAGGGUAUUACUGGCAAUACACCCUUGAGCAGUUGUAAAGAAAUGAUCACACAGUCAAGGCGACAAUGGCUCUUCAAGGUUUCUUCACUGUCACUGAAAUACAGUAUUUUUCUGUGAUCUUUACCUUUGUUCCUGUUGUACCUAUACAGUUUAAUAAACCUUUAGUAGGUUUAUGCCUUCAGGUUUCUGUUAUUUCUAUACUGUGCAAGCUUUCAUCAACACAGGAAAAAUCAUACCUCCAUAUCCAUUAUUCAGAAAAGAGUGUCAGCUGAAAAAUGCUUAACUCAGUUUAGGAUAAAUCACUAUGACUGGAGUAGAAUCAACCGAGCAAUAUCCUUUUAAUAAGGUUCAUUUUGCUACUGGGCUCCUGUUAAAAGUGACUUAAAAAGAAACUGUGCAAUUCCCAGUGCUUUUGUUUGGACAGCUACAGCUAUGUGAGUGUAUGAUUAGGCUUUGAACAACUCACCUCAUCUUUCUCAAGUGCAUGGAUGCAAUUUUCUUGGAAGUGCUGACAUUGGUUGCACAUUUCUUUGACUCCUUGUCUCUUCAAGUUGGCAUCUUGGGUUUUUUGUAAAGCUGUGGAAUUGGGAACAGGGAGGCUCUUGGUUACUUUAAACUAACUGAAAUCUACUGGAAAGCUAAAUGUAGUGCUUAAAGGAGCAUUUCUUUUAAUGAACCUGAAUAUGUAAAUGUUGCUGUAUUAGUAAUAUCUCAUUCCCCUUAGAUCUUUUUCUCAUAAUUGACAUUAACACAGGAGGAUUAUUUAUGCAUUGGAAGCAACGAGCAAGUAGUAGCACUACUGAUGUUUGAGUAACUCCCAUGAUUAAAGCUGUAAGAGUUUAUUUAAAUCCUUAGCCAUUUGUCCCCAAUAACAAGACAGCUGCUUCUCUUAAUGCCCUGACCUAAAUGCAAACCUGAUCUUUAAGUUAUGCACAUUAGAGAAUUGAUUUUCUGGUAAUACUCACACUUUCCAUAGGCAGGUGUCAAGUUAUAAUUGCCAGUCCACCUAAUAUUUUUAUGAUGUUCAUCUCUGUUUGAAGUAUUAGGCUUGGUUUUUCUACUUGGAGUCAACAGAAUACCUUAAAAGAAAUCCCAAACAAUAAAGUAUUUCACGUCUUUCUUAGGAAAAAACAAAUCACAAAACACAAGUCAUGUUUUAGGAAUUAAAAUUUAAGGGAGAACAAUCUUUUGAGCCAUAUACUACCAUGUGGUCUUGGAAGAAAGCCUGGGAAAUUCAGUUUACUUCAGUUUACAGAAAAUGUUUACUUGCUAAAGUUAAUAUAUUGCUACAAAGGACCCUCAAGAUAAAAUAUAGUUGUGUUUUGGGGAUUAUUUUAAAUUUUAAAAUACCUAUCACAGACAAAUUAAUUUCUGAAUCUGGAGAGGAAAAAUAUAAACAAAUUUAUAAAUCAAUCAACCAGCUUUUACUGGAAAUUAAUUAAAUAAGGAACCAUGUAAAGAAGGUUUUUGAAAAUAAAAUAUUAAAAAUAAAUUGUGGAUGGGUGGGCUGACUUUUCAAAAGAGAAUGCAUUUUAAAGGAAUAUUAAGAGUUGAGAAUUGAAGUACUGAUUUAGAGAACUGCUUCAGCCUACUUGAAACAUUCUGGUCAUCAAUCAUAAGAGACAGUAUUGGUUACUAGUUGGUGAAGGUAGUAAUUAUGACUGUAGGUGGAGCUCUGCAGGUGCCCAAACCCACCACAUUCUGAAAAAAAUGGCUGCUGAGUGAUGUAAAAAUAUAUAUCAGCAGAGUAAGGGGAAAAAUAACAUUAAUGGUUUUGCUAUAUUACAGAAUAAAAUCUCUAAAAGGUAUGGACUCUGCUACAAAUGGGGCACUUGUGUGUUAUAAAGAACACUAGGUUUUAUGGGCAACUGAUGGUUCUGCAAACACAGGUUCCUAAACUGCACUGCAGAAACUGGUGGAAUUUAUAUUCCCUUUCCCAUCUCUACCUUGUUAAUAACUUCUUAUUCAAAACUUCCCAGCAAAUAAGUAGAUAACAUUUUCUGGCAUACUAAUAUAUAGAUUAUUCACAGAAUUUGGAGAAGAAAAGAAGCCACCAUAAUUCUCUAUCCAUGGUAAAGUUCUGCAAAAGACUAACAGAAAAUAAUGGCUUUUUGCAUUAAUUGCCAAAUCCAGCCCUUACUUUGGAAACUAUCCUUUUUGCUCCUAAAUGUUGAUAUUUCUGUAUGCAGCCCAUCUUUCCUCACUGGGGCCAGCAUUAUUUCUGGAAAAUAUAAGAUGAACACCAGUACAAAUGUCAGUACAUUUUUGGACCAGCAGGAUUCACCUCAUGGGAUUUCAAUGCUUCAGAAUUGGCUGGAUUUGAGGAUCCAUCCACAAACACUCCUCCUUGCAGUCCUUCCUGUAUUGAAAAAUAGUUUGUGACUAUAUGAGCUCUACAGAAUCUUAAAUAAAUCCAGUAACAAGAUUAACUAAUAGACCAGUUUAACUCUGAAGGUAAAGCAAAUCCCAAAGAAGCUUCAGAAGCCCCUGACUGAGCAGAGAGCCCCAGGACAGCAGUGCUGCUGGAGGUGUUCAUGGGAAAGUCAUUAAGGAAUUUGCUACUGAUGCGAGGCACUGCUAGAAAUGAGCUUAAGAGCCAUCUAAGUAACUCAUAAACUCACUGUUCCAAACCCAGGGAUACCAAGCAGCUAAAAAGCACAAGGAAAAUAUGAAACAACCUUAUUUCAGUCUAUGUUCACAUCCUCCUUUAUCAUCUGUCCCACCAUAGCUGUACAAUCAUGGGCAUUUCAUGCAUGCAAAUAUUAAAAUUAUAGGUUUGAAUGUCCAACAAUUACAAAUAAAUUGAACUUCUUGUUUUGCCAACCUAAUUAUCUCUAUUUUGUAGAAAAUCUGGGUUUAUAAUAAACUAAAAUGCUUCAUAA